CGGAAGCCCAUGAGGAUACUAACCAUUGGGAUGAGAGUCAUACUAUUGCUGAACAAAUCCGACCCAUAUUCAGGCUACAAUAGAUAGUUAUAUAACGUGUCUCUGGCACUGCUGUGUGAACCACUGCUACCCAUCACGCAUCUCCAUGGCGCAGCGCGGGACACUAAUGGGUCCGUAUGGGGUAGACCGUGCCGUUCAUGAAAUAGAAUUUACUGACUGUGAGAAUGGACUGGGGAUCAAAGUGAUUGGAGGAAUGAAGGAGUUAACGGGAGAGGAGUUUGGAGUCUACGUGAAAAGGAUUUUACCUGGUGGCCUUGCUUCAAGUGAUGGACACCUCCAGGCGGGAGACCAGAUCUUGGAGGUGAAUGGGGAGAGUUUACUAGGGGUCACUAGUGAAAGAGCAGUAGACGUUCUGAGAUCAGCGUCCUCGAGCAACCAAAUGCGCCUUCUGAUCGCCAGAGACGAGGAAGCCAGGAGAGAGUUUUCAGAGCUUUUGGAGAAGUAUGGAUCCAGCAGUAGUACUGGGUCGACACGCAACUCUCCCAUCCAGCAUGGCAGAUAUCUGGACAGCACAUCGUCC
ensembl:lncRNA